rnacentral:lncRNA from 1 species
UCUACUGCUCUCCAUUUCACAUUAUUUCGUUAUUGUUAUUGUUCUCAUUGGAGCUGAGGGUCCUCCGAAAGUAGCCUCUCUACCUCCACGAGGUAGGGUUAAGGUUUGCGUACACUCUACCCUCUCCAUACCUCACUCGUGGGAUUUCACUAGGUAUGUUGUUGUCGUUAUUACUAUUUUCAUCUCUAUAGUUUUUUUUUUUUUUUUGAAAUUGCUUAUUUUAAGCUGAGGGUCUAUCAAAAACAACUUCUUUAUCUUUACGAGGUAGGGGUAAGGAUUGCGUACACUCUACCCUCUCCAUACCUCACUCGUGGGAUUUCACUAGGUAUGUCGUUGUCGUUAUUACUAUUUUCAUCUCUAUAGUUUUUUUUUUUUUUUUUUUUUUUUUUUUUUUUUG